AUCAGGUCUGGGACAACCACUGGAAACGGUGGCUAAUACCGGAUGUGCCGCAAGGUGAAAGGUUAACUGCCUGUUGAUGAGCUCGCGUCUGAUUAGCUAGUUGGAAGUGUAAUGGACUCCCAAGGCGACGAUCAGUAGCUGGUCUGAGAGGACGAUCAGCCACACUGGGACUGAGACACGGCCCAGACUCCUACGGGAGGCAGCAGUGGGGAAUUUUCCGCAAUGGGCGAAAGCCUGACGGAGCAAUACCGCGUGAGGGAGGAAGGCUCUUGGGUCGUAAACCUCUUUUCUCAGGGAAGAACACAAUGACGGUACCUGAGGAAUAAGCAUCGGCUAACUCCGUGCCAGCAGCCGCGGUAAUACGGAGGAUGCAAGCGUUAUCCGGAAUGAUUGGGCGUAAAGCGUCCGCAGGUGGCAAUGUAAGUCUGCUGUUAAAGAGUCUAGCUCAACUAGAUAAGAGCAGUGGAAACUACAUAGCUAGAGUACGUUCGGGGCAGAGGGAAUUCCUGGUGUAGCGGUGAAAUGCGUAGAGAUCAGGAAGAACACCAGUGGCGAAGGCGCUCUGCUAGGCCGUAACUGACACUGAGGGACGAAAGCU
rnacentral:rRNA from 1 species